UUUGAGUUCUUCUCCGACGUCCUGAAGCACUUUCCCGGCACCCACAGGCAAGUCUACGAGAACCUGCAGGAGGUCCUCACCUUCAUCGGCCACAGUGUGGAGAAGCACCGAGCAACCCUGGACCCCAGCGCCCCCAGAGACUUCAUCGACGCCUACCUGCUCCGCAUGGACAAACUGCAGGUAGUUUCCAAGAAAGGGCAGUGGAGUGGGACCUGGAGGCAGCUUUCCCUGGAGACUCCUGUGCUUCCAGACAGACUUCAACACCAUUGCACUCAGGCAGGCCAGCAAGGCCACCAGAAUCAGCUCAAAGUCCAGCAUGGUGCUAGUGUUACAGAUUUAUUUAGCAGCUAGCCUGAAUCAUGCAGAAGAAACCCAAAUUCCACUGCCCACAUGGGACAUGGGUGAGAG